CCGGCCUGGCGAACCCGCGUUCGAGUCUCUACGCCCCUUUCACCUGCGGGAGACCGAGGGGCGGCAGGCCAAGGCGAGGGAGCUCGGGCAGGGUGGGACCGAGCCGGGACCGAGCCGAGGCCGACCCUCCCCUGACCUUCUCCGCCGGCCCCGCGUGCGCCCCGCGCCUCAGCAGCGGCCGAAGCCCGGCGGCGAGCUGCCCGAAAUCAGGCGGUGGACAGGCAGCCGCCAGCCCAGAGGUCCGCGCGCGCACUGCCGGAGUGGGCGCCCCGAGACGGCUCUGAGCUCUGGCCCCGCACCCCGCUGAGGUCUGCAGGGCAGCCACGCUCCUCCCGCAGAGGGCAGCCGGCGGGUCCCGGGCGCGGGGGCCAGCGCUGGCCAGGCCCCCUCACUCCGCCGCGGCUUCUGAGACGCGUCCUUCCUCUGCGCCACCCGGGGAAGUGCCACCAACUGUGGAGAAGUCGGAAUUCGGGGCCUCACCUUGCUGGGCCACGAGGGGAGCGAGCCCCAAGCAGGGCUCAGCUGCCUGCUCUGCUGCCUGACCGCGCUGAAGUCCCGCGGGGUUUAUCAUCAACUUGGUUCCUGGGGGAGCCCUGGGGGCGCAGUGGUUAAGAGCUAAGGCUGCUAACCAAAAGGUCGGCAGUUCGAAUCCAUCAGCCACUUCUUGGAAACCCUAUGGGGCAGUUCUACUCAAUCUUAUAGAGGCGCUAUGAGUUGGAAUUGACUGGACGGCAAGGUUUUUUUUUGUUUUUGGUUCCUUGGCAGCAGUGAUAAGGGCAUUAACCCCAGCCCCCACAUGGGGACACUGAGUCUAACAGGGGGGAGUGAUUGCCUGAAGUCACAAGGUCGCCAGGCCUGGAAUUAGGCCUCAGUUUUCCAAAGUUCUGAGGUGGGGGAGACCUGGAUUUUAAGUGUUUAACUUCAAGAAUGUUCUGAAGAGGUUUCAUCUCCAGUGCCCAUUCUCUGGUGUAGGAAAAGCAACUGGAAGCUCUGGGUUCAAAUGCUGAUUUUGCUCCAAAAAUGUUUUCAGAAACAGAACAAACUAAACCAGGACUCUGAUAUCAAAUGCCCUCCAAGCUCACCUCCCACUGCCCACCAGGGUUAGGCUGAGGGUUCUGGAUGCUGGUGCCUCCUGGUGGUUUGGGGCCAGGCUUUGGGUAUAGGCAUUGUCACAUGCCACUCUGCAGAGAAGGAAGCUGAGGCCUGGAGGGUGGGCUGCCCAGGGUCUCACCGUCUCAGGGUUGGGGCCCAGCACAGAGGAGCAGAUACUAGGGAAUGCUUUGAGCUGCCCUUAGACACCUACUGCGUGUAUGAGUGGGUGGGUGGUGCUGGCUUCCUUUCUCAGGUGGGGAAACUGAGGCCCAGAAGCCCUACUGGGUUUGGUGUUAUUUUGUCUCCAACUCAGGAUGCUGUUUGUGGAGGCAUUUAGCCCCUUCCUUUCCCAGCAGUGUGGGCUCAGGGAGCCUAGAGGCGCUGAUGUAGCACCACCCAGCCCUGGGAGGUAGGAACAGGAUUCCUCAGCCCGGACAUAGGAGAAUAAAGGUGCGUUUGCAUACAAAAUGCUGCUUGCUUUGGAAUCUCAGUGGAGAAGACCACAAAUAAAAAGCAAACACAGUGCCUUGAGUUGAUUUCCACUGACUGUGACCCUAUAGGACAGGGUCAACUGCCCCAUAGGGUUUCCAAGGCAAUAAUCUUUACAGAAGAAGUCUGCCACAUCUUUCUUCUGCAGAGCAGCUGGUGGGUUUGAAUCACCAACCUUUCAGUUACCAGCUGAGUGCUCAACCACUGUGCAACCAGGGCUCCUAGUGGAAAGGACAGAGGGUCUCAAAGACCUUUAGGGCCUGGAUGCCAGUUCAUUCAGUUCCCUGUGCUAGCCAGCUUUUUCUGCCACCCCAGCUCUGCUCCACUCGGCUCCUCCCAGGUGUGUGUGCCUCUGAUGUGUCAGGCUUCAGCCCUGGCCUGCAGGCCCUGUACCUCUGGGUCCCUCAUAGGAGUCUGGGGUUGGAAUCCCACUUCUGACCUUGGGUGCGAAAAUCCAGCCAGAUAGGCUCUGCAUCUUGGGGGCCCUGCUCUUCCCACAUCUCCAGUGCCCAGCCUGGAGAUGAGGCUGUGUCGGGGAGGCUGCUGAGAGCAGGAGUUUAUAACUAUUUAUUUCCAUCUAUACAAAGAGGAAGGAGCUCUGUGGCGCAGUGGUUGAAGUGCUUGGCUGUCAACCAGAAGGUCAGCGUUUUGUACCCACUGGCUGUUUCUCAGGAGAAAGAUGUGGCAGCCUGCUCCCAUAAAGAUUUAUAGCCUUGGAACCCCUAGGGGGGAAUUCUCCUCUGUGCUAUAGAGUCAUUGAGUCAGAAUCGACUCCGUGGAAAUGGGUUUGGUUUUACGGGUUUAUACAAAGAGGGCUAUAGUGAAGGGUAAAAAAACCCUACCUGUACCAAGUGCUUCUGAGCUGAGCCUAUGGGUGGUGUGGUUUGGCCUUCACAGGUGGAGGAGGAAUAGGGCCCCCUGGUCAGGGCCCCGGUCAGAGCCAAGGGCUGGAGAGGUGCAGCGUCUGCUGGAGAAGGGCGGAGCUGGGCACCCUGGAUGAGUGUAGGCUGUGGCCGUGCAGGCCACCGAGGGUGUGGGAAGGCGUGCCCUUGCAGGAAAAGGCUUGGAUGAGGCAUUUCGUCCAAAAUGGAGCAUUCACAGCACAGCAGGGAGACUAGUGUGUUCUCUGGGUGGCACUGAAGGCCUUGAGCCUGCAGGAAGGGGUGAGGUUUGCCUCUUAGGUACCAAGUGUGGGGAGGGGCUGCAGGGAGGCUAGUGAGGGGUAGCCGUGGGUUCCAGGUGGGGUGUGGGGGGCAGCCCGUGUCAGUGUGAGCAGUGGGUAGGCCCCCCCAGACCCUGGUGGUUCCUGCACACAGCCCUAGGAGGAGCUGCACAUCUGGGAACCUGGGGCAAAGCCCCCAGAACCCCUCACACCUGCACCAGCCCUGCCCAAUUGCAGUGUGUGGUCAUUGGGAGUCCUGCAGAAUGGGCCACCCAGGGGCAGAAGCCCAGGUACCUGUCCAUGCCCUGCUGCUGAACACCUGGGGCCCUUGAGCAGGCCGUCGUGCCUCACUUUUCCUCAUCUGGAAAACGGGGCCCAUCCUAGCACAGAUGGGACAUGGCAUUAGACCCCCACCACUCAGGGAGUGAGUCCCCUGUGCCAGGCACUGUCCUAAGGUGAUCUCACACCUCCUGUGAUGCUGGACACUGUGAGGGCGGGUUACCCCACUUUGCAGAUGGGGAAAUUCAGGCUGAGAGAGGUGAGGAAUCUGGGUCCAAGACCUGCCACUGGGAAGUGGUGGUAUUGGGGAUUGGACCCUAGGAAAGUCCAUGGAGUUAACCCCUUUUCCUAGGAAGCCUGCCCAGGUCUCCCUCCACCACCCCUCUUCAGGCUGGAUAGGGCUCUGCCUGCCCUAUGACCUCAGGAUUAGCUCAUGGGUCAAAGAAGUUUAAAAUUCCUGGCCUCUCGGGGUGGGAUAGCCCCGUACUUAACUUGAACAGCAACCAGCAAUCAGUUGGCCUGGAGUACAGUCUGACUCACGGUGACCCCACGUGUGCCCUAGUAGAACUGUGCUCACAGGGUUUUCAAUGGCUGGUUUUUUUAGUAUAUUGCCAGGCCUUUCUUUCGAGGUGCCUCUGGGUGGGCUUGAACUGCUGACCUUUUGGUUAGCAGCCGGGCACUCAGGGACUCACUUGCACAGUAGGGGCUUCAUAAGUAUUAGUCCCUCCUCCACCUUUCCUAAACCACAUUGAUUUUUUCCGCCAGGUUUUCUAUUUUUGUGUUUAAAACAAAAAGCAAUUCAAGGGAGGCAGUUAUUGCUUAUGGAGUACUGGUGGCUGAUUUAUGGUGAUGGGAAAAUCACGUUGAUUGAGGGUAGGAUUGCACAACUGAUUCAUGUAAUUGUAAAAAGUUGAAUUGGCAAAAGUUGUGUGAUACAUUGAUGACAAUGACCAAAAAAAAAAAAAAAAAGAUUAGCUUCUGAGGCUGCUUAUUCAUAACCAAACACGUCAUGGGAUGUUUGGUGGUUGAGGGUCAUGGUUUCGUGGGACACUAAAGUUAAUUGGCCUAAUAUCAUGUUUAGUGCUUCUGUUCUACCUCCUAGUUUGUUGUGUAGUACCUGGUGUCUUAAAAGCUUGCAAGCAGCCAUCCAAGGUACAACAAUUGGUCUGUAUUCACCUGGAGCAACAGAGAAAGAAGCCAAGUUAGGAAUAGGAGGGGGAUAUGGAAUGUGUGGCUAAUAGCCUCCAUGAACAACUGCCUCCUUUGCCAUGAAGAACUGGAUGGUGCCUGGCCGCCAUUACUGAGCGUUUUGAUAUAAGAUUCCAUAGAAGAAUCCUGAUCAAAAGGGAGAAAUGCAGAAUAGAAUUUCAAAUUCUCAUGGGCUCCAACCUUGCUGAAGCCAUGGAGGCUAGACGAACUCCUGAUACUGUUGCUCUGAGAUAAUCUUUAAACAUUAAACCAAAAAUAUCCUGUGAAGUCUUCUUAAAACCAAACAGAAGUUUAUCUUAACUAGUUUUUUUAUUUGGUAACGAAUGCCUUGAGCAUUGUGCUCUUUUAAGAUCUAUCUUUAUGGGAUCAAAUUGACAGCAGUAACUGGAACGAUUAGGUAGGAAACUUAUAUGCUACUGUUUAUGUUAAUGGGGGAGGAGCAACCCAGAAAAGGAGGGUGAGAAUGAUUGCACAGCUCAAAGAAUGUAAUCAAUGUCACUGAAUUGUACGUGUAGAAACUGUUGAAUUGGUGUUAAGUUCUGCUGCUUAUAUUCUUAACAACAACAAAAAUAAAUUAUUAAAGAACAAAGAACAACUCAAAUAACACACUGUGUUGAAAGCACUGGUUCGCAGCAUCUCCUGUGCGUGAGAGCCCCAGGUCAGCGGGUCAGGUGCGGUGUCUGACACCCCAGGUUGGGGAGGGGUGCAAGGUUGCAUUUCAAGUCCCCGUUCUACUUUGAGAGCUCCUCUAGACCUCUUGGAAACCUCCCUCCUGCCUGCAGCCCCCACCACGGGGUGUUGUCCUUUCAGCCCCACCUUCUCUGUAUUCUGUGCAUGUGUGCUUAUGGGGGAGGGCUUUUGGGGUUGUGCUUACUGGGCUUGUACUCCAGAUCGUGUUGCAUCUUUCAUGUAAAUAUUAAUUUGACGCUACAUCACAGGUGUCUUUAUCAGUCAGUAUGGGUAGGCUCCUAGCUCUCUCUGGUCCUGGUUGGGGACUUCGUGCUCUGACUUGGUUGUCAUUUUCUGCCUGGCAGAUACCCCCCUCCCCUAUUUUUACAAGGCUCUAGUGGGCCUAGCAGACUUCGAGUUCUUGGAUUGACUUCUCCCUGGGUUGUUGGUGGCCACCAUCCCAGGCGGGCAGAGUGAAGGCUGGGUGCACAGUGGGGAGUCCUUUUGGAGGUGCUCCCUAUGCAGUGGAACCACUCUUCGGUUUUCUGUCAAGGAUGGCAUCCUCAGAACAGCGGAACCAUCGCAGCUGGCGGCAGGAUGCUUGCCGGCAGAGAACACAGGAUGUGGCCGCCGUGAACUGAGAUGGCCCCCGGGUAAAUGGUGACCUUGUUUUUUCAAGAUAUGGUGAUACAUCUCUCCACCUCACCAUUCACACACAGCACACGGGUGGUGGUGGCAACUCUUCCUAAGACAAUCAAGAGAAAGCCAUGGUUUCCUUGCUGGGGGUGUCAUAGUAGGGGCUUUGUUAUUUCAUUUAACCCUUACCCUAGCCCUGUGUAGUGAAGCAGGUUAUUGUCUCCAUGUUACAGGUGAGGGAACAGAGGCCCAGAGAGGUCAAGCAACUGGCCCAGGGUCACACAGCUAGUCAGGGCAAAGCUGGGGCUUGAAUCCCAAACCUUGGGCUCCAGAGGCUGGGUUUUGUAGUCCCAGGGAAGUGGGAACCCUAGCAGGCCCCAGGUAGAAGAACUGCGUUCCAGGUGACCCCAAGCCCAAAAAUGCAGGGCGGCAUGCAGGCAGCAGUGUCUCUGCACUUGGAGAUGGCCACUACCUGGGGCCCCUGCAGGUGGUGGUGGAGGUACACCCCAAUGGUCAGUUACACAUAAGGGGUAAUGCACAAGGUUUGCUCUCGGCAUUUUAUUAUCAUUUCCCCAAAUGUACAGCAAAGGUGAAAUACUCUAUAACGACACUGCCACCUACUCGGAAACCCUGAUACCAUAGUGGUUAAGUGCUACGGCUGCUAACCAAAAAGGUCAGCAGUUCAAAUCCACCAAGUGCUUCUUGGAAACCCGAUGGGGCGGUUCUACUGUGUCCUGUAGGGUCACUAUGAGUCAGAAUUGACUUGACGGCAAUGGGUUUUUUUUUUUUUUUGGCCACCUACUUGGUUCUACCUUCCACACCUACUGCUUUCCCACACAGCUCUCUACCCUUUACCCUCCAUCAGUGCAUCUCAGUUUUGGAUGAGGUUCUCGUUUUACUUUUCAAGGAUGAAGUUGGGUUGGCCCAUUCAUCCUUCCAUCUGGCAGGUCCUUCUUGCAUGCCAGGUGCCUGCCAGGACCGGUGCUGGGCAUGCCCCUGAGGGGGCAUGCAUGGCGAUCCCCGACAGUCUGCCUGGGCUGACCGGGGCCUGUCAACGUUGCCCAGCACCCCUCUAGGACCCCCUCUGCUCUGGGGUCUGCACCACUUCCCCCACACCCCUCCAGGUACCCUUCACUGCCGCUGCACCUCCUCCAUGGUGAGGCCCCUAAGGUAUUACACCUGUUCUGUCCCUGAGCCUGGCAUGUGCUAGGCUAGGGCCCUGAGGUGGAGGGCAGUAGACAGCCACCAGAUGCCUAGUUGUGCACCUGAAUAACAGAUGCCUCUGCUCUGCUGGGGACUUUCUGGGCCAUGGGAGAGGCUCCCUGGGGAACUGGCCAUAGGGGAGUGACACUGGGAGGCCCUGUGAGGCACGUUGGAGAAGGGCAUCCCAGGCUGGGGCAGGAGGAACGGCAGGUUUGGGGAGGCAGGGUAAAGCGAGUAUGGCAGGACCUGGGAGCAGGGAGCAGAGCCCUGGAACUAGGAGGCUGGCAGUCCAGGGCCUGAAGGCCAAGUUCAGGAUUUGGGUCUUCUCACAGCAGGGAGCCCAUGACUGGAGGGAGGUGUGGUCUGAGAGCAGGUUCUCAAAGGUCCUGGGGCUGCAGUAUUAGAAGGGGAGGGAGCUGGCAUGGUCAAAAAGGGUGGGGCUUGAACCCAGGGCAAGGGUGGGGCCAGACCACAGGAGCAGUGGAGAGGAGGAAGGUCAGUGUCGUGGGUGUUAUGGGAAGUGAACUUGCAGGCUUUAGUCAGGUCGGGGUGGGUUGAGGAACAGGAAGGAGCCUGCCCCUGGCGGGGGGGAGGUGGGUGGUGCACUCCCUGGACAGGAAGGAACUGGUUGGGGAUAGUAUCAAGGUUCCUUCUGAGACUCCCGUGGGACAGUGCAAUGGAGUGUCCACAGCCUGCUCUCCAAAGCGCCGAGCCACGGGGCUGGACGAGACCCCAGGGAAAAAAGAGGGGCACAGAUGGAGCCGUGGAGUUGCCAAGACGUAAAGAUCGGGGAGAGGAGCAGAAACUAGCAAAGGUGGCAGAGAGGCCUAGGGGAAGGGGACUUGGCCCUUUCCUGGGAGGCACAACCUAGGAGUCAGGCCUGCACACUUGGCUGCACCUGGCUACAGGUGGGCCAGCAGUGUGGCCCUUAAACCAAAAAAACUUAAAUCUGUUGCCAUCAAGUCAAUUCCAACUCGUAGCAACCCUGUAGGACAGAGUAGAACUGCCCCAUAGAGUUUCCAAGGAGUGCCUGGUAGAUUCAAAGUGCCAGCUUUUUGGUUAGCAGCUGUAGCUCUUAACCACUACACCACCAGGGUUUCCAAUGUGGCCCUCAGCAAGUGACUAAGGGCCCAGGUAAGCGCCCUCCCACCCUGAGGAGGGGGGAUGGGUAUGAGACUUUGCAGAUGUCCUGCUACAAUGAUGCAAGGGGUGGGAACUCUGCAUCUUGUGGGCCCAGAGACAGUGCUGGUGGCCUGAGGCCUCUGGGAGGCUGAGGACUGGCCUGAAAGGAUGAAAGAGGAGCCAGAGGCACCUUCGCAUUCCUGGGGAGAAGGCGACCCUUUACAGAGCAGCCUCAGGCAGGGAGACACAAGAGAACAUGGCUCCAUUCAGCCCCUGGGACUUAUGUGCCAGGGCUGAGCAGCACCAGGAGACCCUGAGAUAAAUGAAACCAGAAGGUCCGGGCCGACUGCCAAGCAGAGGCAGCACGGGAGUCUUUCAGGCGAGGAGCUGUCCAGGUAGAGGUGUCAGAACAGAGGCUGGAGGUGAAGGGCAGGCUGUGUGUGCAGGAAACCACCCGCAGUGACCUGAGUGUGGCAGAGCAAGUAGAACGAGGUGGGGGCCUAAGGGCUCUUCCGGGUUCAUGGGGUGCUGUAGCCAGGGCAUUCAAGGAGUGUGGAGUAAGAGGAGUGAGACUGGUGGCAGAGAGGCUGGGAUGGAGGCAGAUUCAGGCAUGCAGAGUGGGGAAUGAUGAGGCCUAAAAAAAAAAAAAAAAAAAAUGGACAGCAGUGCUGGAAUUGAUUAGUGAUGUCUGUCACAGACUGAGCAGUGGUAAUGGAUUGAGUGUGUGGGCCAUAGAUUUGCCCUUCCUGGCUUAGGCUAUGUUCCUUGCCUGACAGAUGGGAAAACAGAGACUCAGAUGAGAAAGGUUCAUCCCAAGGUCACACGGUCUGAGCCAAGACUAGGACCUGGGGUCCCUGACUUCUGGCUCUGGACUACCUAUGAGAAAGUGUAACUCCUAGGCAGCCACCACACAAACCCGCACCCUGGGGCCCCUCAGAGGCUGCCGCUUCCUGUGGGAAGACGGCCUUCCUUCCCAACAAGGGCAUCCAGGAAUUCCAGUUGAGGCUAGGCCCUCAGUGUAGAUUUCAUCCCAAGUGACCAGCCAGCCAGCCCCUGCUUGUAUGCCCUCCAGAGAUAGGGUGCUCCCCUCCCUCCUCAACAGGCAGCAUGUUCUAUUCCUGGACAGCAAUGCCUCCAAGAAUGAUUUUUAUAUUGAUCUUAAAAUCAGCUUCCUCACCUCUUCCCACGAACGUUCUGGUUCCACCGUGGGGUCCUCCAGUGUGUGGCUUUAGUUCAGACUAGUCUGGCUGGGAGCUUCUGGGCAAGUAAUGUCUCUCAACCUCACUUGUGCCCUCUGGGAGUGUGAGCCCACCAAAGGCGCUCCCAUACAAUUUCUCACAGCUCUGGGGCCCACAGCAGCCCAUUACAGCUAUGGGAACUGGGGAGAAAGAAGGCACAUUAGGCACAGAAGAAUGGAGAAGUCUAAAUUGAGGACUGGGAAGUAUUGCUCACUGGCAGCCCUGGGAACAAGGCCAUGUGGCUGGCCCGUGGCUGCCUGGCUGAGCCUGCCACGGUUCCCACAUCCACCCACUGGCUGCACAGACGGUGGAUACCCAGACCCAAGAACCCUGAGAAAGAAAAGAGGCACUUCUCCCUGGGAGAAGGUCAGGCUGCAGGUGUGUAUUCAUUCACUCAUUCAUUCAUUCACACCUGUCUGGUGCCUGCAGAGCACAGUGGUUAGCAGAGCUAAGACUCUGGAGCAGUUUCUAUUCUGUCCUGUAGGGUCGCUAUGAGUCAGAACCGACUCGAUGGCACUGGGUAAGACUCUGGAGUCAGACCUUGUGGGUUUACAUCCUGGUUGCCCACUGACAGGGUGAGCCGAGACCACUGAGAAUAAGCCUGGGGCGACGAGAAAUAACUCAAGUUUAGAGUUUAGAGCAGUGCCUGGCACAGAGUGGGUGUGCAGUCAGUGUCCACUGCAUCUGCCCCACCACUGUUACCACGGCACCCCUGCAGGUCUGUGCCUGGGUGGAGGCGUCCCUCGCCUGGCCUCCCUGGGGCUCCCCUGGGGCUGCUAGUCUGCCCACUGCCUGGUACACCUGCCCUCCCCCUGCACCAGGACUGGCCAGCCUCCCAGACUCUCCUUUCCUCCCUCCCUCCUUUCCACCACCCCUAGAAGUUACUGUCCCUUCCCCUCACCGUAAUAGGUCUUUUUAAUCUUGACGAAGCUAAGAGGUAGAAACUGUUGUCUUAGGUUUUAAAUUUGCACUUCUCUGAUUGCUGCACUGUAUAGCCACUAGGCCACGUGAACUACUGUGCAUAGGACCUGGCACAAAGUGGAGUCAGGGCUGUGUCAUUAUUUCCAUUAUUAUGGCCACAGAGACCGGGUGGGCUGACGCAGGAAGUCCUAAGGGCCUCAGCAGAGCCUUGGGCUGAACGUGGGAGUGAAAGCUUUGUAUUAGCUUGAACCAAUCUGUUUUACUCAAAAUAGUGGCUUAAAACAAGACAGCAUUUAUUUCUUUCUCUUGUGAGUAUUCAAAGGUGGCUGGUCCAUCCUUCCUGUGCUUCCUCCCUCUGUGCUUCCCCUCUCAGACAGCCCAGACACACCCCUUCCUCUGAGCACCCCUUCCUCAGAAAGGCGCCAGCUACCCUGAAGUGCUGCACACCACCUCACCCCGUUGGCCAGAAUUUAGUUACAGGGCUGCACCUAGCUACAAAGGGAGGCUGGGAAUCGUAGUUUUCAGGUGGUGGUCACGUCCCUCACUGCAGCAUUGAGGUGCGGGAAGAGGCAUACCAGUGGGCAGUCAUGCCUGGGGGUGGGAACUGGGGUUGCAGCUGCCUAGGAGUUGUAGGGGCAGGUUUCUCUGGCUUGGUUAUUGGGUUGGGUUCCUGACAGGUGUUUUCCUCCUAUGAGGGGAGACCUGGUGCUGGAAGGAGCCCAGUUUCCAUUUCAUCCCUGCCACCUUCUCACUGUGGGACCUUUGCCAUAACAUUGAGCCUUGCUCUGCCUAAGCUUCUCCACCUGUACAGUGGAGGUGGAAGCGCCUUCCUCCUAGGGUUAUGACAGCAGAUGUCUAUGCUGGUCCACUGGCCACCCUGCACCCACCCCCCGCCCGGUGUGCAGACACUGGAAACCUCUGCUGGCCUUUGCCGGUGAGUUUCCUGCAUGCCCCCCCGGGCAUCUCAGCUUCUUAAGGUGCCCUUAGGUUCUUGGUGGGCAGGAGGGGUGUAGGGAGAUGAAGCUACUGGGCACUGCUGGGGCAUUGAGGCCAAGGACUGCCCGCCUACCCCUGUGCCUAUCUGCAGGGAAGGGACUGAGUCUGACCCAUCUUUCUUCCCUCUCUCUCCCACCACUCCCCUUCCAGCCAUUCCUUUUUCACUCAUCCAUUUUUUUUUUUUUUAACAAAUAAUGAGGACCUUCUAGGUACCUGCCUGGGCCAGGCUCAGGAGUAAACAAGGGCCAAGGGCCUGUUCUCAAGAAGCUGAAUUCCCCAGUGACGACCACAUAAAACAGAGAGAGGACUGAGAGGUCAGUGGGUGGAAGGUGUGGGAGGGUGGCUGGCUGGUGGUCAGUGGUGUGGGGACUUAGGUGAGAACUUCCCAGGCAGAGGGAACUGUGAGGACAAUGGCCUGUGGGGCUGAGGAGGGAGAGGAGCUGUGAGGCUUAGAGGCAGGGAAGGGUGCUGAGGGCACAGGGCUGAAGGCUGUGGUGAGGACUCUGGAAGUUACCAGAGGGCGGUGACAGAGGAGCGGAAUGAUUUUACGUGGGUUUAAAGGAACCCUCUGACUUUCAUGUGGAACACAGACUGUGGGCAUGAGGCCAGAGACUGGGAGAAAGAGGGAGGUAACUGCCAUGGUCCAAGGGCUGGGAUGCUUGGACCACAGCAAUAGAGGGCGUGGAAUUCUGGGUGUGUAUAGGUAUUGAAACUCUGAUGAAGUUCAAAGAUUACAGCCUUCAGUAUGGAUUACACUUCAACAUAAAACAAAAAUCCUCACAACUGGACCAACAAGCAACAUCAUGAUAAACGGAGAAAAGAUUGAAGUUGUCAAGGAUUUCACUUAGAUUCACAACCAACACCUGUGGAAGCAGCAGCCAAGAAAUCAAACGACGUUCCGCUUUGGGCAAAUCUGCUACAAAAGACCUCUUCAAAGUGGUAAAAAGCAAAGAUGUCACUAAGGUGCGCCCGACCCAAGCCGUGAUAGUUUCUAUUUCCUCAUAUGCAUGGGAAAGCUGGACAAUGAAUAAGGAAGACCAAAGAAUAAUUGAUGCCUUUGAAUUAUGGUGUUGGUGAAAAAUACUGAAUAUACCAUGGACUGUCAGAAGAAUGAACAAAUCUGUCUUGGAAGAAGAACAGCUAGAAUGCUCCUUAGAAGGAAGGAUGGUGAUAUACUACAUCUCACAUACUUUAACCAUGUUAUCAGGAGGGCCCAGUCCCUGGAGGAGAGCAUCAUACUUGGUAAAGUCAGUGAAAGAGAAGAAGACCCUUCAUGAGAUGGAUUGGCACAGUGGCUGCAAGCAUAGCAAUGAUUGUGAAGAUGGCACAGGACUGGGCAGUAUUUCGUUUUGUUGUAUAAAGGUUGCUAUGAGUUAGAACUGACUUGAUGGCACCUGACAACAGUAAGAUUCAUUUUUUGGUAUAUAGUUCUGAGUUUUAACAAACUCAUACAGCCGCAUAACCAUCACCAGAAUCAGGAUAAGGAACAAUUUUACCGCCCCAAAAAGUCCUGUGUGCUGCCCUUUUGUGUUCAGCCCCUCUUCUACCUCAGCCCCUGGCAACCACUGAUUUGUUUUCUCUCACUAUAGUUUUCCCUUUUCUAGAACGUCACAUGAAUUGAAUCAGUAUGGAGUCCUUUGAUGUGGCUUCUUUCACUCAACAAAAUGGAUCUGUGUUGUUGCAUACUGAUAGCUUAGUUCUUUUUAUUGCUGACUAGUGUUCCUUGGUUUUUUUUAAUGUCCCAUGAGGAGCCCUGGUAGUGCAGUGGUUAAAGCACUCAGCUGCUAACUGAAAGGUCCAGAGGCUCCAUGGAAGAAAGAUGUGGCAAUCUGCUUUUGUAAAGAUUACCACUUUGGAAACCCUAUGAGGCAGUUCUACUCUGUCCUGUUGGGUUGCCAGGAGUCAGAAUUGACUCCAUGGCAAUGGGUUUGAUUUUUUUUUUUAGUUUUUUAUGGUGUGGAUGUACCACAGCUUGCUUAUCCACUCACCAGUCAAUAGACAUUAGUUUGUUUCCACUUUAAGGUGAUUAUGGGUAAAGCCCAUAUAAACAUUCACACAUGAGUGAACAUAAGUUGUCAUUUCUCUCCGAUAAAUACCUGGCGCGGUAGUGCUAGUCCUCGUGAUAUGGUAGGUGUCUGUUUAACUUUGUCCCUGGAUGGUGCAAAUGGUUAGCAGGCUCGGCAGCUAACUGAAAGGCUGGCGGUUUGAGUCUACCCAGUGGUACCUUGGAAGAAAGGCCUGGCGACACCUACUGUUGCAAAAAAAUCAGCAAUUGAAAUCCCUAAAUUAGCACAAUUCUACUGACUCACAGAGGGGCGCCAUGAGUCAGAAUCGACUUGACACUUGAACUUUUCUGUAGUGGCUGCACCAUUUGGCAUUGCCACCAGUAGUGUACGAAGGUUCUAGUUGCUCCAUAUCUUGCCAGCACUUGGUAUUGUCUUCCUGAUAAUAACCAUCCUAAUAGGAGUGAAGUGGUAUCUCUUCGUGUUUUGUUGUUGUUGUUGAGAAUAUACACAGCAAAACAUAUGCCAACUUAACAGUUUCUACCUGUACAAUUGAGUGACAUUGAUUACAUUCUUUGAGUUGUACAGCCAUGCUCCUCCUCCUCUUCUGAGUUACUCCUCCCCCAUUAACAUAAACUCACUGUCUCCUAAGUUUCCUGUCUAAUCUUAUGAAUUGCUGUUGUCAACUUGAUACCUUAUAGAUAGUUCUUAAAAGAGCAUAAUACUUAAGGCACACAUUUUUCACUAGUUAAGCUAAACUAUUGUUUGGUUUUAAGAAGACUUUAGGGGGCUAUUUUUGGUUUAAGGUUAAAGAUGAUCUCAGGGCAAUAGUUUCGGGGGUUCAUUUAACCUCCACUCCUCCAGAAGUCUGGAGUCCGUGAGAAUUUGAAAUUCAGUUCUACAUUUCCCCGCUUUUGAUCAGAAUUCUUCUACAGAAUCUUUGAUCAGAAUGUUCAGUCGUGGUAGCUGGGCACCAUCCUGUUUUUUUGGUUUCCUGGCAAAGGAAGUAGUUGUCCACUUAGGCAAUUAGCCACACAUUCUGUAUCCUCCUCCUAUUCCUUACUCUCCUUCCUCUGUUGCUCCAGGUGAACAGAGACCAAUCGUUGUGCCUCAGAUAACCACUUGCAAGCUUUUAAGACUCCAGGUGUGAUUGUGAAGGUUGUGUGUCAACUUGGCUGGGCUAUGAUUCUCAGUAGUUUGGCACUUAGGAUGUAGUUUGGCGGUUGUAUAAUGAUGUGAUCACCUCCAUGAUGAGAGCUACUGUGAGUAGCCAGUCAGAUGAAAGGGAAUAUCCUUGGGGGUGUGGCCUGUCUCCAGUAUACAUGGAUUUUCUGGCAAGGCUCACUGGCUUUUGCUUGCUCUGGAUCCUGCAACUGGCUCCUGUUCGUCUGACCUCUGAUUCUUGGAACCUGAGCUAGCAGCUGACCAGCAUGCUGAUCUUGGGUUCGCCAGCUCCUACAGCUACGUGAGUCAGGAGAAGCCUCCAGCCUGACCCACAGACUUGGGACUUUCCAGCCUUUACAACCCUGUGAGCCACUUCCUUGAUGUAAAUCUCACACUCUCUCUCUCUAUAUAUAUAUAGACUUUUUGCUGGUUUUGCUUCUCUAGAGAACCCAGCCUAAGGCACCAGGGCAGGUACUACUUCUCAUUGUGGUUUUAAUUUGCAUUUCCCUAAUGACUAAUGAAGGAGCCCUGGUGGUGCAGUGGUUAAGCGCUUGGCUGCUAACUGAAAAGUCAGCGGUUCAAGCUCACCAACUGCUCCACGGGAGAAAGAUGUGUCAGUCUGCUUCCGUAAAUAUUACAGUGUUGGAAACCUUAUGGGGCAGUUCUACUCUGUCCUGUAGGGUUGCUAUGAGUUGGAAUUGACUUGAUGGCAAUGGAUUUGGUUUUUGGUAAUGACUAAAGACAUUGAAGGAGUCCUGGUGGUGCAAUGGUUACGCCCUUAGCUGCUAACCAAAAGACAGUUUGAACCCACCAGCUGCUCCAUGGGAGAAAAGAGCUGGUGAAUUGCUCCUGCAAAGAUUUACAGCCUAGGAAACCCUAUAGGGUAGUUCUACUCUGUCAUAUAUGGGGUCGCCAUGAGUUGGAAUUGACUUGAUGGCACACAACAACAACAGCAACAGUGAUAUUGAGCAUCUUUUCUUGUGUUUAUUUGCCAUCUGUAUAGCUUCUUUGGUGAUGGAUCUGUUCAAGUCUGUUACCCAUUUAUUAUUUAUUAUUACCCAUUCUUGUUUAUCGAGUUGUUUGAUUUCUUAUUUUUGAGUUUCAGGAUCCAAGGCCUUUAUCAGAGAUGUGUUUGGCAAAUAUUUCCUUUCAGCCCGUGCCUUUUCAUUCUCUUAACAGGAUUUUUUUGCAGAACAGGUGUUUUAAGUUUCGAUGAAGUCCAAUUUAUUAAUUUUUUUCUCUUAUGGAUCAUGUUUUUAAUGUUGUUUGUAAGAAAUCUUGACUUAAUCUAAGGCCACAAAAAUCCCCUCUGUUCCCUUCUAGAAGCUUUAUAGUUUUAGAUUCUACGUUUAGGUCUGUGGUCCAUUUCUAGUUCGUUUUUGUGUAAGGUAUGAGGUAUGAGGAAACCCUGGUGGCGUGGUGGUUAAGUGCUAUGGCUGCUAACCAGAAGUUCAGCAGUUCGCAUCCACCAGGCGCUCCUUGGAAACCCUGUGGGGCAGUUCUACUCUGUCCCGUAGGGUCGCUAUGAGUCAGAAUCGACUCGACGGCAAUGGGUUUUUUAAUGGAAUGAGGUAUGAGUCAAAGUCAGGGUUUUCUGUUGUUUUUGCUUCUGGAUAUUGGGUUACCUUCCUUUGGCUGCUGUAACAAAUUACCACAAACUGGGUUACUUAAAACAACACACAUUUAUUCUAGCAUAAUUCUUGAGGCUGGAAGUCUGAAAUUAAGGUGUCAGGAGGGCUGAUUCCUUCUGGAGGCUCUGAGGGAGAGUCUAUUCCAUGCCUUUUUUUUUAAGCUUCUGGUGUUGCGGGCAGUCUUUAACAUUCCUUCGCUUGUAGCUGGAUUGCUCCAAUCAGUGCCGCUGUCUUCCCAUGGCUUUCUUCGCUGUGUGUCCUCUCCUCUUCUCGUAAAGACACCAGUCAUGAGAUUUAGGGCCCACCCUAAUCCAGGAUUACCUCAUCUUAAUCAAUUAUAUUUGCAAAAAUCUUAUUUCCAAAUAAGGUUGCAUUCUGAGAUUCCAGGUAGACCUGCACUUUAGGGGGAUGCUAUUCAACCCACCACAGAUGUCUUGGGUAGGUAUUUUGAAAUUAGAGCCCACAGAGUUUGUGGCGAAUUGGUUGUAAGUUGAGAAAAAGAGUCCGGGUAAUUCCAAAUUUUGGGGCCUGAGCAACUGAAGGACAGAAGUGCCACUAACUGCAAUGGGGGAGGCCACAUGAAGAGCAGGUUGGGCAGGUCAAGAGUCAUUAUGGUCAUUUCAGGCUUCGUGGGCAGUCAGACAACUGUGCCUGGCACUUAGGCGGGAGGUCCUGGCUGGAGACAUCGAGCGCAGAGGGUGUGUGAAGGGUUGUGUCGGGUCAGAGUGGGAUAAGGGGGCCUAUCAGACUUGGAGGCCCCUGCUUCCACCCACCUGCUCUGAGUCUCAGGCCUCUCCUCUGUGGAAAUGACUGUUGAACCUUUGUCCUUAAGAUGCUCACGGCGAUGCCCUGGAAUCUGUCUUUACCUUGGGCACAGGCUCUACAACAGCUCUGUCUGUUCUCCAAAACAUACCUGUCUACUUUCAAUGCAGUAGGAAUACAGUCAGUGAUCAAAAGUCAGAAAGCCAGAAGAGCAUCUCAUCUUGCACUGGUCACCAGGAGACAAGUUCAAGAAUGCCCACGACAGCUUCAUCAGCAUCCUGGAAAGCCAGAAACCUUCCAAAUGCCCAUCAGCAGGGAGUAGAGAAACCAGCUGAGGCCCAUCCAGGCAUGGAAUACUGCUCCACCACAGAAAGGACCAACUACUGACACACAGACAACACAGUGACUGUCAAAUGCGGUAUGCUGAGUGAGAGAAGCCAGACACCAAAAGGGAUGAAGUGAUGUGUGUGUGUGAGGGAAGAAGACAGAUGAGGGCCUGAUUGCCUGAGUCUGAGUCUCUGUGACCUUGAGAAGUACCUUAGCCACCCUGUGCCUCACUUUGCCCAUCUGACAAAUGGGGAUAAUGACAGUUCUCCUUCAGCUGGCUGUUGUGCAGGUCAACGAGUAUAGGAACGCUAUAGAGUGAUGGUCAGUGCACAGUAAGUUCUGUGUAAGUGCCAGCCACUGUCCUUAUGAUUUCCUAAAAAUUCUUGUGGUUUAUAUUGUUAGGAUCAUCUGUCUUUGUUCUUAUUUAAGGACGAUGCCAUUGUAACCGCGUUAUGGCGCUUUGUUGUCUAGGUGUAUCUUUAUUUACCACACCAAUCCCUUACUGCUGGACGUGGGGGUAAUUUCCAACUUUUCACUGUUAAAAACAGCUCUGAGGUAAACAUUCUGGUAUAUGAAUCUUUGCAGCAGAUUUUUAAUUAUUUCCUUUGCCUAAAUCUCAAAUGCAUGUACGAUUUGAGGCUCUGGCGUGGAUUGAAUUAUAUCCCCCCAAAAAUGUGUGUAUCAACUUGGUUAGGCCAUGAUUCCCAGUAUUCUGUGGUUGCCCUCCAUUCUGUGAUUAUAAUUUUAUGUUAAAGAGGAUUAAGGUGGCAUUCUAACACCCUUACCAGGUCGUGUUCCUGAUCCAUUGUAAGGGGAGUUUUCCUGGGAUGUGGCCUACAUCACCUUUUAUCUCUUAAGAGAAAGGGAAACUGGCAGAGAGGGGGGACCUCAUACCACCAAGAAAGCAGCACCAGGAGCAGAGUGCGUCCUUUGGACCCGGGGUUCCUGUGCCUGAGAAGCUCCUCUACCAGGGGAAAAUUGAGGACAAGGACCUUCCUCCAGACUCUACAGAGAGAGAAAACCUUCCCCUGGAGCUGAUGCCCUGAAUUUGGACUUUUAGCCUACUUUACUCUAAGGAAAUAAAUUUCUCUUUGUUAAAGCCAUCCACUUGUGGUAUUUCUGUUACAGCAGCACCGGAUGAGUAAGACAGGCUUGUAAUACAUGUACCAAACUGCAUCCAGAAAAGUCUGGAUCUGGACCCCACCGGGCAAGUUUGAGAGGACCCCUCCAGGCCCUUGCUGACGUUGCGUAUUGUCAUUGUUUUCUUGUAAUCUUUGCCAAUAGCUGAGUCAGGGAUUAGCUGUGGUCAUCUGAAUUAGCGCUUCUGCAGCUCCUGUGAGAGUAACUACACAUCUUUUCCUGCCUGUUGGCCAUUUGUGUUCUUUUUGGAAAUUUACAGUUUAAAUUUCCUGCUGGCAUGUUAGUCCUUUCUUCUCUUUGGGUGUUCGUAUCAGAUUGAUGUGUAAGAACUCUUUAUAAAUUAAGGGCUAUUGAAUCUUUGUCCUGUUUUUCACGUAUUUUCCUAAUUUUUUAAUCUAAAUAUAUAUAUUUUUAAAUUAUUAGCUUUUUACUUUUCAUGUAUUCAAAUCUGUCAAUCCCCCCACCCCCC